rnacentral:rRNA from 1 species
AGCGAACGCUGGCGGCAGGCCUAACACAUGCAAGUCGAACGGACCCUUCGGGGUUAGUGGCGGACGGGUGAGUAACACGUGGGAACGUGCCUUUAGGUUCGGAAUAGCUCCUGGAAACGGGUGGUAAUGCCGAAUGUGCCCUUCGGGGGAAAGAUUUAUCGCCUUUAGAGCGGCCCGCGUCUGAUUAGCUAGUUGGUGGUGUAACGGACCACCAAGGCGACGAUCAGUAGCUGGUCUGAGAGGAUGAUCAGCCACAUUGGGACUGAGACACGGACCAUACUCCUCCGGGAGGCAGCAGUGGGGAAUCUUGCGCAAUGGGCGAAAGCCUGACGCAGCCAUGCCACGUGAAUGAUGAAGGUCUUAGGAUUGUAAAAUUCUUUCACCGGGGACGAUAAUGACGGUACCCGGAGAAGAAGCCCCGGCUAACCUCGUGCCAGCCGCCGCUGUAAAAC